GAUGAACGCUGGCGGCGUGCCUAAUACAUGCAAGUCGAGCGAACGGACGAGAAGCUUGCUUCUCUGAUGUUAGCGGCGGACGGGUGAGUAACACGUGGUUAACCUAUCUAUAAGACUGGGAUAACUUCGGGAAACCGUUGCUAAUACCUGUUAAUAUUUUGAACCGCAUGGUUCAAAAGUGAAAGACGGUCUUGCUGUCACUUAUCGAUGGAUCCGCGCUGCAUUAGCUAGUUGGUAAGGUAACGGCUUACCAAGGCAACGAUGCAUAGCCGACCUGAGAGGGUGAUCGGCCACACUGGAACUGAGACACGGUCCAGACUCCUACGGGAGGCAGCAGUAGGGAAUCGUCCGCAAUGGGAGAGAGCCUGACGGAGCAACGCCGCGUGAGUGAUGAAGGUAUGCGGAUCGUAAAACUAUGUUAUCAGGGAAGAACAUAUGUGUAAGUAACUGUGCACAACUUGACGGUACCUAAUCAGAAAGCCACGGCUAACUACGUG
rnacentral:rRNA from 1 species